GUGGGGAAUAUUGCGCAAUGGCCGAAAGGCUGACGCAGCGACGCCGCGUGGGGGAUGAAGCAUUUCGGUGUGUAAACCCCUGUUGCCCGGGACGAACAAGCGAUUUCGAUCGCUCUGACGGUACCGGGUGAGGAAGCACCGGCUAACUCCGUGCCAGCAGCCGCGGUAAUACGGAGGGUGCGAGCGUUGUCCGGAAUCACUGGGCGUAAAGGGCGCGUAGGCGGUGACUUAAGCGUGUGGUGAAAGCCCGGGGCUCAACCCCGGGUCUGCCGUGCGAACUGGGUCACUCGAGCACUGUAGAGGCAGGUGGAAUUCCGGGUGUAGCGGUGGAAUGCGUAGAGAUCCGGAAGAACACCGGUGGCGAAGGCAGCCUCCUGGGAUAACACUGACGCUCAGGCACGAAAGCGUGGGGAGCAAACAGGAUUAGAUACCCCGGUAGUCC
rnacentral:rRNA from 1 species